rnacentral:rRNA from 1 species
GGUUAAGUUAGAAAGGGCGCACGGUGGAUGCCUUGACACUAGGAGUCGAUGAAGGACGGGACUAACGCCGAUAUGCUUCGGGGAGCUGUAAGUAAGCUUUGAUCCGAAGAUUUCCGAAUGGGGAAACCCACCAUACGUAAUGGUAUGGUAUCCUUAUCUGAAUACAUAGGGUAAGGAAGACAGACCCAGGGAACUGAAACAUCUAAGUACCUGGAGGAAGAGAAAGCAAAUGCGAUUUCCUGAGUAGCGGCGAGCGAAACGGAACAUAGCCCAAACCAAGAGGCUUGCCUCUUGGGGUUGUAGGACAUUCUAUACGGAGUUACAAAGGAACGAGGUAGACGAAGCGACCUGGAAAGGUCCGUCGUAGAGGGUAACAACCCCGUAGUCGAAACUUCGUUCUCUCUUGAAUGUAUCCUGAGUACGGCGGAACACGUGAAAUUCCGUCGGAAUCUGGGAGGACCAUCUCCUAAGGCUAAAUACUCCCUAGUGAUCGAUAGUGAACCAGUACCGUGAGGGAAAGGUGAAAAGCACCCCGGAAGGGGAGUGAAAGAGAUCCUGAAACCGUGUGCCUACAAAUAGUCAGAGCCCGUUAACGGGUGAUGGCGUGCCUUUUGUAGAAUGAACCGGCGAGUUACGAUCCCGUGCGAGGUUAAGCUGAAGAGGCGGAGCCGCAGCGAAAGCGAGUCUGAAUAGGGCGUUUAGUACGUGGUCGUAGACCCGAAACCAGGUGAUCUACCCAUGUCCAGGGUGAAGUUCAGGUAACACUGAAUGGAGGCCCGAACCCACGCACGUUGAAAAGUGCGGGGAUGAGGUGUGGGUAGCGGAGAAAUUCCAAUCGAACCUGGAGAUAGCUGGUUCUCCCCGAAAUAGCUUUAGGGCUAGCCUUAAGUGUAAGAGUCUUGGAGGUAGAGCACUGAUUGGACUAGGGGUCCUCAUCGGAUUACCGAAUUCAGUCAAACUCCGAAUGCCAAUGACUUAUCCUUAGGAGUCAGACUGCGAGUGAUAAGAUCCGUAGUCAAAAGGGAAACAGCCCAGACCGCCAGCUAAGGUCCCAAAGUGUGUAUUAAGUGGAAAAGGAUGUGGAGUUGCUUAGACAACUAGGAUGUUGGCUUAGAAGCAGCCACCAUUUAAAGAGUGCGUAAUAGCUCACUAGUCGAGUGACUCUGCGCCGAAAAUGUACCGGGGCUAAAUACACCACCGAAGCUGCGGAUUGAUACCGAAUGGUAUCAGUGGUAGGGGAGCGUUCUAAGGACAGUGAAGUCAGACCGGAAGGACUGGUGGAGUGCUUAGAAGUGAGAAUGCCGGUAUGAGUAGCGAAAGACGGGUGAGAAUCCCGUCCACCGAAUGCCUAAGGUUUCCUGAGGAAGGCUCGUCCGCUCAGGGUUAGUCAGGACCUAAGCCGAGGCCGACAGGCGUAGGCGAUGGACAACAGGUUGAUAUUCCUGUACCACCUCUUUAUCGUUUGAGCAAUGGAGGGACGCAGAAGGAUAGAAGAAGCGUGCGAUUGGUUGUGCACGUCCAAGCAGUUAGGCUGAUAAGUAGGCAAAUCCGCUUAUCGUAAAGGCUGAGCUGUGAUGGGAAGCUCCUUAUGGAGCGAAGUCUUUGAUUCCCCGCUGCCAAGAAAAGCUUCUAGCGAGAUAAAAGGUGCCUGUACCGCAAACCGACACAGGUAGGCGAGGAGAGAAUCCUAAGGUGUGCGAGAGAACUCUGGUUAAGGAACUCGGCAAAAUGACCCCGUAACUUCGGGAGAAGGGGUGCUUUCUUAACGGAAAGCCGCAGUGAAUAGGCCCAAGCGACUGUUUAGCAAAAACACAGCUCUCUGCGAAGCCGUAAGGCGAAGUAUAGGGGUGACACCUGCCCGGUGCUGGAAGGUUAAGGAGAGGGGUUAGCGUAAGCGAAGCUCUGAACUGAAGCCCCAGUAAACGGCGGCCGUAACUAUAACGGUCCUAAGGUAGCGAAAUUCCUUGUCGGGUAAGUUCCGACCCGCACGAAAGGUGUAACGAUUUGGGCACUGUCUCAACCAGAGACUCGGUGAAAUUAUAGUACCUGUGAAGAUGCAGGUUACCCGCGACAGGACGGAAAGACCCCGUGGAGCUUUACUGUAGCCUGAUAUUGAAUUUUGGUACAGUUUGUACAGGAUAGGCGGGAGCCUUUGAAACCGGAGCGCUAGCUUCGGUGGAGGCGCUGGUGGGAUACCGCCCUGACUGUAUUGAAAUUCUAACCUACGGGUCUUAUCGACCCGGGAGACAGUGUCAGGUGGGCAGUUUGACUGGGGCGGUCGCCUCCUAAAGUGUAACGGAGGCGCCCAAAGGUUCCCUCAGAAUGGUUGGAAAUCAUUCGUAGAGUGCAAAGGCAUAAGGGAGCUUGACUGCGAGACCUACAAGUCGAGCAGGGACGAAAGUCGGGCUUAGUGAUCCGGUGGUUCCGCAUGGAAGGGCCAUCGCUCAACGGAUAAAAGCUACCCCGGGGAUAACAGGCUUAUCUCCCCCAAGAGUCCACAUCGACGGGGAGGUUUGGCACCUCGAUGUCGGCUCAUCGCAUCCUGGGGCUGUAGUCGGUCCCAAGGGUUGGGCUGUUCGCCCAUUAAAGCGGUACGCGAGCUGGGUUCAGAACGUCGUGAGACAGUUCGGUCCCUAUCCGUCGUGGGCGUAGGAAAUUUGAGAGGAGCUGUCCUUAGUACGAGAGGACCGGGAUGGACGCACCGCUGGUGUACCAGUUGUUCUGCCAAGGGCAUAGCUGGGUAGCUAUGUGCGGAAGGGAUAAGUGCUGAAAGCAUCUAAGCAUGAAGCCCCCCUCAAGAUGAGAUUUCCCAUAGCGUAAGCUAGUAAGAUCCCUGAAAGAUGAUCAGGUUGAUAGGUUCGAGGUGGAAGCAUGGUGACAUGUGGAGCUGACGAAUACUAAUAGAUCGAGGACUUAACCAU